CCAGUUUGUUAUUGGAGGUCACGUGGCCAGUCGCUAGGGACAGAUGCACGUCCUGUACCUCGGAUUGAAGCGUCGCGAGCUGCUGCUAUCGCUAGUUUGAACAAAAUGGCUGCAGAGGCACCACUAACGAAAGCCCGCUGAACGCUUAUCAAAGACAAGCCGAGAGAAGAAGCAGGGAACACGAGACCAGAACCAUUUGAUGGAAGAAAAGAAAAAGAGAAAGCAAGAAGAAAAGAAAAAGAAGGAAGCUGCUCAGAAAAAGGUCACUGAACAGAAAACCAAAGCCACCAGCUGCAGCUACUCCCCAGCACAUUCCACCAAUGUUUUAUGAUGGGGAAAUGGUGUGUGUGAAAGAAAAGUCUCCUGUCCUGCUAACCUGAACCAGCUCCAGUCCCUGUGCCUUCAUCCUGUCUGUCUGGCCUCCAUCUUGGGUGCACACAAACAUUCAAAGCCUUAAAGCUGCAAUAUGUAACGUUUUGGGCAACCUGACCAAAUCUACAUAGACGUGUGUUAUAGAUCAGUCAUUCUCAUUUAAAUCAAGUCUAAGAAGCGGUAUACUGUAUCUGGUCUAUGUGUGCUAUUUCUAUGGUUCCCGUUCUUAAGUGUCGUUUUUGCAUAUUUUACUUUCGGUUUUGUACACCAGCUGUAAAAACAAUAUUUUGGGUUAUGGAAAAUAUAUUUCAUAGCGGUUGAAAUGGUACAAUGAUUCUCUACAUUAUACUUGCUUGUUUUGUCACAAACUGAAAUUAGGCAAACUAUUAGACUUUUAGAAACCAGGAAAUGGUGGGGUGAUAUCUGCAUAGUGCAUCUUUAAAAUGUUUUAAAUUGUUGAAUAAAAGUAUAGUGCCAUUUCAAUAUACAGUAGUCAGACCCAGGUGUUUUGAGUCCUCCUGCCUUUUAGAACUCUAUAUGAGUUAUCAGGAGCCCUCAGAGAGCUGUUCCUCUAAACUACAGCCCUCCUGCCUUUUAGAACUCUAUAUGAGUUAUCAGGAGCCCUCAGAGAGCUGUUCCUCUAAACUACAGCCCUCCUGCCUUUUAGAACUCUAUAUGAGUUAUCAGGAGCCCUCAGAGAGCUGUUCCUCUAAACUACAGUCCUCCUGCCACUCAGACCUCUGAGGGAUCAGGAGCCCUGGGAGAGAGCUGUUCCUCUAAACUACAGCCAUCCUGCCUCUCAGACCUCUGAGGGAUCAGGACACCUGGGAGAGAGCUGUUCCUCUAAACUACAGCCAUCCUGCCUCUCAGACCUCUGAGGGAUCAGGACACCUGGGAGAGAGCUGUUCCUCUAAACUACAGCCAUCCUGCCUCUCAGACCUCUGAGGGAUCA
ensembl:lncRNA